GAUGAAGAACGUAGCGAAAUGCGAUAAGUAAUGUGAAUUGCAGAAUUCAGUGAAUCAUCGAAUCUUUGAACGCACAUUGCGCCCGCCAGUAUUCUGGCGGGCAUGCCUGUCUGAGCGUCAUUUCAACCCUCAUGCCCCUAGGGCGUGGUGUUGGGGAUCGGCCAAAGCCCGCGAGGGACGGCCGGCCCCUAAAUCUAGUGGCGGACCCGUCGUGGCCUCCUCUGCGAAGUAGUGAUAUUCCGCAUCGGAGAGCGACGAGCCCCUGCCGUUAAACCCCCAACUUUCCAAGGUUGACCUCAGAUCAGGUAGGAAUACCCGCUGAACUUAAGCAUAUCAAUAAGCGUAGGA
rnacentral:misc_RNA from 1 species